GGUCCCGUAGCUCAGUUGGAUAGAGCACAUCUUUCCUAAAGAUGGGGUCGCAAGUUCGAUUCUUGCCGGGAUCA
rnacentral:tRNA from 1 species